rnacentral:tRNA from 1 species
GCCGGGAUGGCGGAAUUGGUAGACGCAGGGGACUCAAAAUCCCCCGGUGGCAACACUGUGAGAGUUCGAGUCUCUCUCCCGGCA